rnacentral:rRNA from 1 species
AUAUUAUUAAGCGGGGGAAAAGAAACUAACAAGGAUUCCCCUAGUAACUGCGAGUGAAGCGGGAAGAGCUCAACGUGAAAAUCGGUGUGUCAAGCGAUACAUCGAAUUGUAGUCUCGAGAUGCAUGGUCAGUGAUGACCUCGGUAUAAAUCCUUUGGAACAGGGUAUCAUAGAGGGUGAGAAUCCCGUCUUUGACCGAGAGUUCGUUACGUACGACGUGCAAUCCAUGAGUCGAGUUGUUUGGGAUUGCAACUCUAAAUGGGUGGUAAAUUUCAUCUAAAGCUAAAUAUCCACGAGAGACCGAUAGCGCACAAGUA